AUACGGAGUGUGCAAGCGUUACUCGGAAUCACUGGGCGUAAAGCGCGCGCAGGCGGCUAUUUAAGUUGGAUGUGAAAGCCUACGGCUCAACCGUAGAACUGCACCCAAAACUAUUUAGCUAGAGUGUGAGAGAGGAAGAUGGAAUUAGUUGUGUAGGGGUAAAAUCCGUAGAGAUAACUAGGAAUACCAAAAGCGAAGGCAAUCUUCUGGAACACUACUGACGCUGAGGCGCGAAAGCGUGGGGAGCAAACAGAAUUAGAAACCCUAGUAGUCC
rnacentral:rRNA from 1 species